rnacentral:rRNA from 1 species
CGACCGGCGCACGGGUGAGUAACGCGUAUGCAACUUACCUAUCAGGAGGGGGAUAACCCGGCGAAAGUCGGACUAAUACCGCAUGAAGCAGGGGCCCCGCAUGGGGAUAUUUGCUAAAAGAUUCAUCGCUGAUAGAUAGGCAUGCGUUCCAUUAGGCAGUUGGCGGGGGUAACGGCCCACCAAACCGACGAUGGAUAGGGGUUCUGAGAGGAAGGUCCCCCACAUUGGUACUGAGACACGGACCAAACUCCUACGGAAGGCAGCAG